rnacentral:rRNA from 1 species
AUGAUCGUGCCGAUGGAGCCGAUCAACCACGUCGACGACGGCAACGGCGAUCAGCCGGCCUCCCACGCAGCUCGCCAGCGGCGUCCGAAGUUCCCAAACAUGGUAGCGGUGCCACUCCUGAAGAAGGCGACGGCGGAGUUUCUCGGGACGUUCAUCCUGAUGUUCACCCAGGUGUCGGCCAUUAUCAUAGACGACCAGCACGACGGCGUGGAGGGCCUGAUGGGCAUCGCCGUGUCCGUGGGCCUGGCGGUCACGGUGCUCGUCUUCUCCACCAUCCAUGUAUCUGGGUGCCACCUGAACCCCGCGGUGAGCAUCGCCAUGGCGGCCUUCGGCCACCUCCCGCCGGCCCACCUCGCCCCCUACGUCACCGCGCAGGUGCUGGGCUCCACCGCCGCCUCGUUCGUGGGCAACGCCAUCUACCACCCCGUGAACCCCGGCAUCGCCACCGUCCCGAGCGUCGGCGCCGUCGAGUUCAUCAUCACCUUCGUCCUUCUCUUCGUCAUAACCGCUGUGGCCACGGAUCCUCAUGCAGUGAAAGAACUGAUCGCGGUGGCAGUUGGCGCGACGGUAGUGAUGAAUAUUCUCGUCGCAGGGCCAUCAACAGGUGCAUCUAUGAACCCUGGGCGUACGAUUGGACCGGCGAUUGUUACGGGGAGAUACAACAAGAUUUGGGUUUAUCUGGUGGCUCAACCACUGGGUGCUAUUGCAGGAGCUGGAUCCUACGUUGCAAUUAAGCUGUAG